GACCGGAAGUGUUAUUGUUGUUGGCGGAAAGCUAACAGAGCUAACUGAGCUCCGGGGCUAUCGGAGCUGCUCGGCUCCUCGCGCAGGUCUCCAGAUGGAGCGGCGGCGUCCGGCCCAGGAGGACGUGUGUCCUCUGCUCUCUAAAUCCAUGAGGACAGACGGAGAGCUCAUGAACCUGGAGAGGAAGUCUUGCACAGGAAGUUCCUCUGGGGGCCCGCCGGGCUCCUGUGACGGGAGCUGUGACAUCACCAGGACGCGCCAACACACCUGUGUCAAUAAAGUUUGGUUGAACUCGUCCAGCGAGGAUGAACAGGGACGGCUGGACAUCGACCUGGACAGGAAGUCACGGCAGCUGAACCUGACGUCCAGCAACGUGCGCGCAAUCCUGCACGAGGUGAUCACCCAUGAGCACGUGGUGGCCAUGAUGAAAGCUGCCAUCAGAGAAACUCAAGACCUGCCCAUGUUUGUGAGUGUAAACAGUUUAAC